GGUCAUUUGGUUUAGUGGAAUAAGUCUCCCCUUUGUAAGUGGGAGGUCGUGAGUUCAAAUCACAAUAGACUA
rnacentral:tRNA from 1 species